GGAGCCCGGCAGGCAGCGGGUCGGCACGUUCCCCGAAGGCGGCUGAGAGGGGCGUGGGACGGAGCCGGUGCCCGCCAGGCUGUGGAUGCUGUGCGGCCACACGGGCUUCCGGGGCCGGGGGGUACGGGCUCCUCAGCGGAUGGGCCCGCCCGCCGCUUCCCCUUCCCCCGCUGGCCCAGCGCCCCGCGGCGGGGGAUCGCUGCCAGGGGAGCGCUGGUCUCCUCCUUUCCGUCCCGCCCAGAAGGGCCUGAGCUCCGCGGAGCCGGAUUUCUCCCGCGUCACGACACGGAAAGAUCGGGGCAGGAGGCGGCUCGGAAGGGGAAUCUGCCGCCAGCUCCGACACUUCGUCCCUGCCCCUCCGUCUUCCCCACCGGCCUUCACCCAGCGCCGAGGCGCGGAAGCUGGGCUGGGUGUAACAGGCCCGGUGCCCGGGUAAGAAGUGAAGUUCACUGCCGGCUGGAGAGGACACCUGCCCAUGGCAACCACUCUUUAUUCCCACGAAACGUAGCCCUGCCGGCGUUGUCCCCAGCUACAUCCUUAGCCUUAGAGAAAGCAGCAAGUACAAAGUAAUACCCUGUUCUUGGCUGGCGUGCUGUGCCUCGGCUGAGUGACCGUCGGCAGGCGUCUGAGCAGGUGCUGCGGCUGGCCAGGAGCGAGGCAGUCAUCCGGUUCACUUCGUGGUGUCCAGCCAGUUGUUGGUAGGUUGCGCUCUAUGAAAGACCCGGUGCAGCUGUUCUGUUGAUUCUCCUAAGAAAUAAGAGCCUGGUUUUAAAAAAUAAAGGUCCAGCUCAGAAGAUACAUGUGAAACAUCAUAGUGAGUCUUCCCCUCUUCCUUACAAUGGACACUCAGUCCUUGAAAGGGCCUCUCUGAAGUCCUAAUUAUCUCAGUAAUCGUACUUAAGUGCCACCUGCCCUGGGCAAAUGCACAGUGUCGCCACUGUAAAUCACAGCCAAUUCCAUACACCAGUUAACAUGCAGUUUUGGCUCCCGCCUUCUCCAGCAAGUAAUCUUAGAAAUUGAAUGGUCACCAUUCCUAUACAAAUAGGAGGCUUCUUACUGAAAACAGAAGUAGAGAAAGUUGGCAGUUCUCACAUCCAGAAAACUUACUAACUUCUUCCAUACUGCUGCUUCAUGACCCAGUUAGAAGAAUCAAAACCAUGAGGGUUUUGAGAAUUUCAGGAGUCUUACAUUAACUUGUUUUCCUUGACUCAGCUUUUUUAUCCUCAUGAAUUGCUUAAAACCCAUUGCAGCAGUUAGAAGCCAGAUCAGUCAGUACUUUCAGUGAUGAUUUUUAUGCAGCUGUCUGCACAGAAAGAGAGGGAGCCAAGUGUAAAACACAUAAUUUCUGCUGACCAAGAUCAGCAGCAGGAUACAAGGAAAGAGACAAUUUCUUCUGGAACAACCCAACAGGAAAGUCAGGCAUCUCCACUAAAGCGAAUUGGAUGGGUAUGCUGGGUUUCCUCCCUCUUAUUUUGGUGCUGUUACUGGUGAAUAACUAGGAUUUUGCAUUGGUCACUUUUCUGAAGAAACAGAUGUCUGUUACCUUAAGCAUAGAAAUGGAGAGAAGAAAGGGCUAUGUGGUACUCUUGCCGGUUCACUACACUCAGAGGGCUAGGAGCUUUUGAGUCUUAAGAUAGUGGGCUCUGAUUUAUGCUAUGCUAGGUAAACUAGUUAUGAACUGGCAGAGCCCUAAUGUCUAAGUACUAGUCCAGUAUAACCUGUCCCCAUCAAGUCAUGCAUGCAGGUGUGUAUGUAUGUAUUCUGAAGGGGGAAGGCAAGAGUACUGCACAAGAACCUGCCCUCCAACUGUACAGAAGAUGGGCAUUCCUCUCUCCUCUGCUGGAGAAAUCAAGGAAUUUAAACACGAUAUGACCUUGUUGCUAAACAGUCACUGCCAGAGAACACAAAAUUGGGCUGAUCUGCAAGGAAUCUGGGAGCUACACAACUGUGCUAUAUUAGAGCUGACUUUGAGCUAAAACAACUAAACACCUGGCAGGGUGUAUUUGGGGGCAGAAAGGUUGCAAAGCCUGUUGGAACACUUAGGGCUCUGACACUCAUUUCCUUCUCUUUCAAUCAGCCUGUUUGGAUUUUACUGUGUUUGCUGUGACCUUGCUUUGAAACCAGUUUGGAGUGGUUCUGUAGGGUCUGGAGUGGAGUCAGUUCUGUACUGUUUACCUGAGCAGGACCACCAUUCACUUUAGUGAGAGCAGUGCUUGAAGAAGGGCUGAUAUAUUUAUUAGCUAAAAAUUGAAAUGUGUGUUUGAGGCCAAGAAAUGCAUUUAAUUAAUUAUGCUUACAAAAUUGCGGAUCAGUCAGGCAUAAAAUGAGGUAGAAUUCCAUGCUCUUUUUCCCAAGGCACUGCUUGUUCUACAAAGUCUGGUUUUGCUUUCAAGAAUAUUUGUAGAUGUGCUUUUACAGAUUGUUGAAGUUUCAACUCAUUUUAACUUGAUGAUUCUUUUUUCCCCAGCUUUUGUUGCUGAGCACAGCAUCAUAUGGUAUGGGGUAUCCCUUCGGUCAGUUGUGGUCAGCUGUCCCAGCUGGGUGUCCUACCAAAUUCUUGUGUGUCCCUAGCCCUUUUGCUUGUGAGGCAGAAACAGAAAAGGCCUUGACUUUGUGUAAGCACCGCUCAGCAAUAACAAAAACAUCCCUGUGUUAUCAACACUCGUUUGGUCACAAAUCCAAAACACGGCACUAUACCUGCUGCUGUGGAGAAAAGAAACUCCCAGCCAAAGCCAGUACACCAUGGAUUUCAGAUGUCCACUAAUAAUACUACAAGUGCUAACGCUGGUAACCAAGUUAUCUCCUAAAGGAAACUAGAAUAAUCUAUCCAUAUGUCAGUACCCAGGAUAAUGGAACACAAGAGAGCACACUGUCACUUCUUUCUCACAAUCAAAAUGGAAAAAAAAAGAGCUACCAUUAGCCUAAAAGAAGCCUCCCAGCAAUCUGAUUAUUACGAGAGUGAAGCAGUAUGGUUGAGUUCAGUUAAUGCCAUGAAUAUAUUUAAACUGCUCAGAGAGAAAGUUAAGCCAGUUAGGGGAAUCUGGCAGAGCUUAUGUUGACCCUUUUCUGAAUACUUGCAAAAUCUGCUUUUAGUGAGCUGAAAUUGACUUUUGUAUGGGGCAGGACUUAAUUUUUAGAAACUACUGCUCUGCCCUGCUUACUUCCUCUCAUUCCUUUCCCAGAAAGAUGAUGUAUCUAUCUCAUGAGAAUGAAGUGGCUAACAGACAUAAAGCCAUGUACUUCUGGGGUAAGCAGCAGCUGAGCUAUUUUAGGGAAUGUACAGACCAACAGGAUGAGUGGUUUUAACUUAAAACCAGUGUAGUCCUUUCUGUUUCUGUAUUGGGGUAUCAAGUAUUUCAUCACACUGCUAACAACAGAACAAGGGGGUUUGCUUGUUGGGUUGGGUUUUGCAUUGUAUUUUAUUAGGUUUUUAAAUAAUUUGUCUUUUUCAAUUGAUAUCUUUUUUCUUCCUGUGAGAUUAAAUUCAAUAAGCUAAGCCAGGUUUAUCCUUUCAGCCAGUGUUCUAUUGUCCCAUCUCACAAAUCCACAGUGAUGGAGACAUUUCAGGGAACCAUGAAGAACAUAGAAAGGAAAGUUUCUGAUGCAGAGCUCUUCCUUUGUCUCUUGGGAGCAUGCCUGUCACCCAGGGGCUAGUCUCAAAGAGUAAACGUAAAAAAUUCAUGAAGGUCCUAAGUUAUGAAGUUGAGAUUCCGCAAUUUCUACUGAAAUGCAAGUUUCCUUAAAGCCUUCUGUUUUUCAAGAUCAGUAUUCCUCUCACUCAUCGCCAUCACUCUUCCAGUGAUUUGAUCAUUAUGUAUGCAUUACCACAGUCAUGCUUUUGAAAGAACAUGAACUGAAAAGAGAAUUCAUUAAUUUAAAGACUGGUGGCUACAUUCUGUUGCCAUGAUCACAUGUAUUUGAGUAGGCUCUUCCCUGGGGCUGCUUGUAGGGCACAGCAUUCUACAACCUGAGCAGGGGCACCAGGAUCCGGUACUGUAGUUCUAACUGUUAGUUUGUUUGAAAAAUGCUGGCAACAUUUUUACAGUGACCAUGUAUCAAUAUGAAUACAGCUUUGGUGUAAAGGGACAAGGAAUGCUGCCAAAGUGAGGAGACAGAGAGCUUUUUAUAGAGAUGGCCUGUUAUCUGCAGGCUAACACAAAAGAGGAUUGUAUUCCAUUUAUGUAGUGGAUGAGCCUGCUUCUACACAUUGCACCUUGAGUUUCCCUUCUGGGGGUCUUGACUAAUAACAUCAAGGUUAGCAUUGUGGGUAGAAUGAAGGGCAUCCACCCUGAAGACCACUGAGAAGGGGGUAUACCAUAGGAGCAAGUAAGACAGUCCUUCAGCCUGCAUCAGUGGCCAGUUACAGCAAGGGCAGGUAGGAGGAAAAAAAAAUUACAAAGCCUGAAGCAAGAAGCAGGAAAGAAUCCAGGGGCUAUAAAGGAUGCCCCCAGAAAUCAUUCUCCCCUGUCUUUCCACAUCUUUCCCCCAGAAGAAUGUGAAUUUUUAUGCCUACAGAAAUGCCUGACUUAGGAAGAGUGAAUAAGCUUUCCAUUGUAUCUCUGUUCUUCCAUUCUUCCCCCGCAUAACAAAGCUAUUACUUUCCUCACUUGGCAUUACACAAAAUGGCUAUUCAUCACUCUUUUGUAUUACUCACCUUGAUUCUAACUAUGUUUGUGCAUUAUUGGUAGAUACAAUGGCAAGGACUCUCUUUUCCUGCUCAGAAAAUCCUUUUACAUUUUGGCAAUUGCUGGAAAUCAAAGUUAAUAAUAAUGAAUGGGGGCUUAUUGGCUGAGACAUUUAGAUGUCAUCUUUUGCAGUUUAUGUCCCACAGAGCAACUACAAAAAUUGGAGAAUAUAGGCAAGGGAUUACUUCUUCAAGAACAUUUGCCAGCUUGCUGUGUGGUUGUAUUAGAGGUAAUCCAGCAAAGUUCUUUCAUAUUUUAUCUGAUUUCAGUACUGUAGGCAUUGCAAUCAUACUUGCAAAGAAUGUGAAGUAAAAUUGGGAUCUAAUGAGAAAGAGGAUUCAAAUCCUUCAACUUCCUAAGUCUCAGAUAGGCAAUCUCAAAAUUUAAAAUGAAUCCUCAUUUUAUUUACCCUGUUGAUGGCACUGUUGUUUGGAACCUUUGAACAAUAUAGUGAAAAUCAUGCAUCUGAGCAUUAUUCAAGGAAAUAUUAUCUACCUAUGGUUUCUGAUGAAACUUGUUUCUUCAUUUUUUGCCUUACAUACAUUUCAUGCUAAUUUGAGAUCUCCCAUUUCUGAGGAAUUCCUACUUUAGCUGUACCAGAGUAUUGCUUGUUCAUCUAAUUGGAAUUAAUUUGGAUUGACUACUUGUAUAAAAACAAGUAUAACUCCUCUAAAUUUCCAGCCUUUUACUUAAGAAUCUAAUAAUCACGGGUAAUGUUGAUAUUCAAAGAUACAUUAAAAUAUUGAUAAUCUAAAGGCAGACAUAGUUGGGAGUGAGUUUGUUUAUUUGGUGGUUGGUUAGGGGUUUUUUUGCAGGCAGCACUGUGGCUUGGCUAGAGCCUUAGUAAGGGGACUGUAAGAGUGGUGCUAGAGCAACUACAUGGUGGGGCAGGGGAUGUUUUAACCCCAAAAAGGGGAAAGUUCCCUUUGUAAAAAACUAAGGUUUACAGGGUGGAAGGCAGGGGAGUGUUUAAAAGCACUUUCCCUCUUUGUCUGUGAAAAAAGAGGCCAGCAGUUGGGCUGUUUAAAAGCAUUUUCACACUUCCUGCAUGUGGUAAGCUGGCCUACAUUUCUCAGAGGCAGGAGAAUGUGUGAAACUGUUAGCAAAUAGCUUGGCUGCCUGCACGAUUGGAGAGCAGAGGGCCUGUUUGAAAUCCUGCCAUGUGAGUUUGUUACGGCUCUAACUGUGGCUUGGAACAGAAGUCUGAUGCAGAAAUCAUUGAAUUGAGUCUGUUUGGUCUGUGUUAUAUAGAAAUA